rnacentral:rRNA from 1 species
UACGGAGGAUGCGAGCGUUAUCCGGAUUUAUUAGGUUUAAAGGGUGCGCAGGCGGCACGGCAAGCCGGCGGUCAAAUCGCGGGGCUCAACCCCGCCCAGCCGUCGGAACUGCCGGGCUAGAGUGGGCGAGAAGUGCGCGGAAUGCGUGGUGUAGCGGUGAAAUGCAUAGAUAUCACGCAGAACUCCGAUUGCGAAGGCAGCGCACCGGCGCCCUACUGACGCUCAGGCACGAAAGCGUGGGUAUCGAACAGG